CCCUGAUCCCUGUGAGGAACCUUCAGCCUGUUAACAUAGCAUAAUAAUAAGGAGCAGAUGGGGUUAAAUCAGUUCAUACACAAAAUACGAAUACACUCUGCAUUGAGAUUCACUACGCUGGAUAGAAAGGAACCGAUCACCGAAGAAA